rnacentral:rRNA from 1 species
UACGAAGGGUGCAAGCGUUGCUCGGAAUCAUUGGGCGUAAAGCGCGCGUAGGCGGCCUUGUAAGUCGGAUGUGAAAUCCCACGGCUUAACCGUGGAAGUGCAUCCGAAACUGCGAGGCUCGAGUAUGGAAGAGGGUCGCAGAAUUCCCGGUGUAGAGGUGAAAUUCGUAGAUAUCGGGAGGAAUACCAGUGGCGAAGGCGGCGACCUGGGCCAAUACUGACGCUGAGGUGCGAAAGCGUGGGGAGCAAACAGG